rnacentral:rRNA from 1 species
CUGGCGGCGUGCCUAAUACAUGCAAGUCGAACGGUCUUUCUAUGGAAGCUUGCUCCACUGAGAAGAUAGUGGCGAACGGGUGAGUAACACGUGGGUAACCUGCCCAUAAGAGGGGGGAUAACAUCCGGAAACGGGUGCUAAUACCGCAUAGUUUUCUUGAUCGCAUGAUCGGGAAAGGAAAGACGGCCUUUGUGCUGUCGCUUAUGGAUGGACCCGCGGCGUAUUAGUUAGUUGGUGAGGUAACGGCUCACCAAGACGAUGAUACGUAGCCGACCUGAGAGGGUGAUCGGCCACAUUGGGACUGAGACACGGCCCAAACUCCUACGGGAGGCAGCAGUAGGGAAUCUUCCGCAAUGGACGAAAGUCUGACGGAGCAACGCCGCGUGAGUGAAGAAAAGGUUUUCGGAUCGUAAAACUCUGUUGUCAGAGAAGAACAAGUCGGAGAGUAACUGCUCCGGCCUUGACGGUAUCUGACCAGAAAGCCACGGCUAACUACGUGCCAGCCGCUGC